GUGGUUAAGAGUGCUUGCUCCUUUUCCAGAGGACCUGAGUUUGGUUUUCAAAACCCAUAUAGGGUAGCUCACGACUUUAACGCUAGAUCCAAGACAUCCAACAGCCUCUUCCAAACUUCACAGGCACCAGCACACGUGGCACACAUUUACACAAACACACACACACACAUAGAAGGAAAAAUAAAAUAAAUCCUUUUUAAAAACCUGGUAACUCUUCUUAAGCCUUGAAAAUUGAAACCAAACCUCACUGCUGGGUGAAGUACCCAGUCAGAACCUCGUGAGGACACUAUCUCCAACCCUAAACAGGACUUGAGGAAAUGAGGUCAGCAUCUGUCCCUACCUUCCAGGUUUGGUGACUCCUCGGUCAUCCCCAGGCAGCUGGACAGCAUCAAUAGCCCCCUCCAAGCGAAGCAGGAUCACUGUGAAUCAAGGGCACAUCAGGAGCAUGCCUCCCGUCCAGCCCACAGGGAAGGAAAAGAAGCACUUACUCUUCAGCUUUGCGAUGUCUUCCAGCUCCAUGUUGAACCCUGGGUGAGAAAGACUGGACAGGACAAACUUUCGUCUACACCUGGUUCUUACAAGAAAGCAAGACAAGUAAGCCACAGGAAGCAACAAAGUAAGCAGCAUCUCUCCACAGCCUCUGCUUUCAGUCUCCAGGUCCCUGCCUUGAAUUUCCUACCCUGCUUCCCUGGAUGAUGUACCACAAACUAUAAGAUAAAAUAAACCCUAAGAAACCUU